GGUGAUAUAGCUCAGUUGGUAGAGUGUUCUUCUAGCAUAGCAAGGAACCUUGAGUUUGAGCCCCAAUACCACCU
rnacentral:tRNA from 1 species